rnacentral:lncRNA from 1 species
UUAUGGGCAUUAUGUUUUCUGGUCUGUGCGUCCGUUCGUUCGUCCGUCCGUCUGUCCCGCUUCAGGUUAAAGUUUUUGGUCGAGGUAGUUUUUGAUGAAGUUGAAGUCCAAUCAACUUCAAACUUGGUACACAUGUUCCCUAUGAUAUGAUCUUUCUAAUUUUAAUGCCAAAUUAAAGAUUUUACCCCAAUUUCACGGUCC